AACGCACGAGACCUGCGGACCUGCGGAAGGAUCAUUACUGAGUUUCACAACUCUCUAACCCUGUGUGAACUGAAGUCUGGUUGCUCAGGCAGGCGGCCCCCGGGGGGAGCCGCAGCUUCUCUGAAGCGCCUGCCGGAGGAUACCUAAACUCGUUUUAACAUAUAAUCUUCUGAGUAAUAAAAAAAAAAUGAAUCAAAACUUUCAGCAACGGAUCUCU
rnacentral:misc_RNA from 1 species